AAGUCUAGAGUGGAAACACUGGGUUAUACCGAAUAGCUUAGCGAAGAUUUGGAUGUUAGUUAAGGGGGAUAGAGUGUUAGUAUAAUAAUUUAUUUUGUAUUCAGAUAAAAAGCAUACGUACAUUAGCCACUUGAACAAUAGAUUUUAACUUGUAAAAUUUUUAUUGCAAUUAUGAUAAAGCUUUUCUCUUUGAAACAACAAAAAAAAGAAGGCGAAUCUUCUGGUAGAGCAGCAGGAAGCCAAAAGAGAGCUUCUGCCGCUCAACUAAGAAUCACUAAAGAUAUAAAUGAAUUAAAUCUACCAAAAACUUGUCAGAUAGACUUACUUGACCCAGAUGAUCUUCUUAACUUCAAGCUGAUCAUAACUCCUGAUGAGGGUUUCUACAGAGGAGGACAGUUUGUAUUUAGUUUCAAAGUUAGCCACAAUUAUCCUCACGAGCCUCCAAAAGUCAAAUGUGAAACCAUGGUUUACCAUCCCAACAUAGACUUGGAGGGAAAUGUGUGUUUGAAUAUAUUAAGGGAAGAUUGGAAGCCUGUUCUAACUAUAAAUUCUAUAGUAUAUGGUCUGCAAUAUUUGUUUUUGGAGCCUAAUCCAGAAGACCCCUUGAAUAAAGAUGCAGCUGAAGUUUUACAGAAUAAUCGACGACUCUUUGAACAUAAUGUAAAGAAGGCUAUGCUUGGUGGCUAUGUUGGUUCCACGUACUUUGAACGUUGCUUGAAGUAGUGAUAACAUUAUACUUAAUAUUUCACAAGAUAAUCAGCAAAUGUACCCAUGCCUUGCUUCAUGGAGAUAGCAGAAUAACGUGUGCAUCAUCCACUUUGGCAUGGUACUGGAUCAAACUCAAACUGAAAGAGAUUCUAAAAUCAUUAGGAUAUUAUACUUCAGAAGGAAGGGUAAAAAUCAAAUCUGCCAUUUCUCAUACAUGUUUCUGUAAUUCUACUUGACUUAUUUGAUUCAUUAAAAUAUAGAUUCAUAGCGUAUCCCUAGCAUAUCUGUUGUUUUUAUAUAUUUCAUGAAGUAUAUGACUCCUAAUGUCUCAGUUGUGUUUUUCUAUGUAUAUUCUAGGGGUAACACUUUAUGAAAUGACAAAUGUAGUUCUGUGUAAUAAAGUCAUUAAGGGUAAAAAUAUGUAUGCAAUAUCUACGUAUUACAAAAAUAUACAUCUAUACGAACACCCUAUCUUUCAGUGUAUUCAACAUAUUUUACUAGGGGUAACUCUUUAUAAAAUGACAAAUGUAGCUCUGUGUAAUGAAGUCAUUAAAGGUAAAACUAUGCAUGCAAUAUCUACGUAUUACAAAAAUAUACAUCUAUACGAACACCCUAUUUUUCAGUGUAUUCAACAUCUUUUACCAACACCUUCAUUAUACCAAGUAGGUGGCCUUAAAUAUAGAGCUGGGGCACAUCAGUGGUUGUAUAGUUUAACCCUUUCCAAAUCACCUAUGCUAUUUGUUAUUUUUAGAGCAGUGGAAUUUGUUUUGAGAUAGUGGAUAUAAGUAUAUAUCUCACCAGCACAGACAAUAAAAUGCCACCAACGUGUAAUCUUACCACAACUGUAUUUUCUUCAUGUAAUAGUUUUGAAAUUAUUAAAAUCAUGGUGGUAAGAAGUAUAAAAAAGCAACUUUCUCCAUUUUUUUGUUUCAAAGAUGUCUAAAUUGUAUAUGUAUCAUCUGAAACCUGGAGUUAUUUUCUUUCAUGCAAUUUAUUAGAGGUGAAGGUUCCUUCAUAUUUUAAGUACAGAAAAAUGAAAAUUUAUGAAGUUGUGGUACCAGUAGUGACUAUUAAGGUUAAGUUUUACUUUUUGUUCUCAUUACUUAAGGAUAUUAUGUUCAUUAUAAAUCACAGAAAAGUAAUGAAUUACCUUAGUGCAUUUUCUUGUGUAUUUGUUUACUUUACUUAAGUAACUGUCUUUAAAGUUAAUGUUUUAUAUACAGUAUCUUUAGUUUCAUCACUUGACAAUGUAUGCUAAAUGUUGUACCUUUGUAAUCAUAUAAAUGAUACCGUAUCUUUAGUUUCAUCACUUGACAAUGUAUGCUAAAUGUUGUACCUUUGUAAUCAUAUAAAUGAUACCGUAUCUUUAGUUUCAUCACUUGACAAUGUAUGCUAAAUGUCGUACCUUUGUAUUCAUAUAAACUAUACAGUAUCUUUAGUUUCAUCAUUUGACAACGUAUGCUAAAUGUUGUACCUUUGUGUUCAUAUAAAUGAUACAGUAUCUUUAGUUUCAUCAUUUGACAAUGUAUACUAAAUGUCGUACCUUUGUAUUCAUAUAAAGUAUACAGUAUCUUUAGUUUCAUCAUUUGACAACAUAUGCUAAAUGUCGUAACUUUGUAUUCAUAAAUGAUACAGUAUCUUUAGUUUCAUCAUUUGACAAUGUAUGCUAAAUGUCUAUUGUCCUAGAGCUAGUU
rnacentral:misc_RNA from 1 species